GGUUAGUAUACACUGCAAAGAUUGUGCUGUCAUGCGUCUGCAAUGCAUGGGUCAUUACCCACUGGUGCUGUGAUUACUGGAUGAAUCGGCCAUCUAACUGUAUUAUGUCUUUCUUUUUUGUCUUUAGCCUCCUCGUUCAGCCCAUCCUGUAGUGCAGUUUUCCUGCGUCGACUGUGAGCCUAUGGUUAUCGACAAGCUGCCUUUUGACAAAUACGAGCUGGAGCCAUCACCACUAAUGCAGUUCAUUUUGGAAAGGAAAUCUCCUCACAUGUGCUGGCAGUCCGGUAGGUGGCAGUAAUGAACCUUCAAGCUGGUUUGCCAACCGCCAAUCAAACCAAAAGAAGAAGAAGAGCGCGCUCCGACUCCACUGUUUACAGAGCUGACUCUGAGCUGACGGUGGUUCUGCAGACAGUGUGGAGUUAAGUGGUGUCUUCACGACUCCUUGCACAGUAUUCCAGUGGGGCAGAUGGGAAAUUAUCAGGAGUAUCUGAAGAUGAUGCCAUCACCUCUGCAUGAGAUAGAUCCGGAUCAGCCCAAAUGACUGUACACAUUCGGCAACCCAUUCAAACAGGUCAAGAAGGAAUGAUGAUAGAUGAAGCAGAUGAGUUUGUAACAGGCCCACAAAAUAAGAAGCGGGGGAACACAGGUGAUCCAAUCUCGGGCACUGCCCUGAAGAGGCAGAGGAGCAUGCCAGCCCCAAACACCUCCAAUAAUAACCAAUCAUGUACUGGGCAAGGGCCCUUUAGGUACACAGAGUCAGCAAGGAAUCAUUAAACCCAUCCCACUCCACAAAGGAAUUGAGGGGAACAGUGUAGUGGCCACAGAAAGUAAUGGAGAGCAAGUGCCGGGUGGGGAGCCUGGAGAUGGGUGGCCCGGAGUAGUAGAUGGAGUAGAAGGACCUGCACCCCCGGACAAGAGGGAAGAGGAUGGGGCACCAGACGAUUAUGAGACUAUAUUCAGGUUACUGGAGUAGGUAAAGGGACCUGCAUCAGUGCAGAGAUACUUUAUUCAUCAUGCCAUCAAAAAGGAAGCCAGGUUUAAGAAGCAUGUGCUGAUCCAGAAACUUGAGACUGCUCUUGAGGAGAUAGAAGACAGACAGCUGCUGCCUGCACAGCUCAACAGCAUCCACAGCAGAUAGUGAACCAUCACAGCUUACUGCUGAGAAGCACAA